AAACGUCCAUAAUGCGCACCACACCGUC
rnacentral:piRNA from 1 species